rnacentral:rRNA from 1 species
AGCGGUAGGCUUAACACAUGCAAGUCGAACGGAAUCAGGGCUGCUUGCAGCCUUGGUCCCGUGGCAGACGGGUGCGUAACGCGUGAGAACUUGCCUGGUAGUAGGGAAUAACCAGUGGAAACAUUGGGCAACACCCUAUACGCCCUGAGGGGGAAAAUUUAUUGCUAUCAGAUAGGCCCGCGUUAGAUUAGCUAGUUGGUGGGGUAAUGGCCUACCAAGGCGACGAUCUAUAGCUGGUCUGAGAGGAUGAUCAGCCACACUGGAACUGAGACACGGUCCAGACUCCUACGGGAGGCAGCAGUGAGGAAUAUUGGACAAUGGGCGAAAGCCUGAUCCAGCCAUACCGCAUGAGUGAUGAAGGCCCUUGGGUUGUAAAGCUCUUUUAGUGGGGAAGAUAAUGACGGUACCCACAGAAGAAGUCGGCUAACUCCGUGCCAGCAGCCGCGGUAAUACGGAGGGGGCUAGCGUUGUUCGGAAUUACUGGGCGUAAAGGGUGCGUAGGCGGUCCCGUAAGUU